rnacentral:misc_RNA from 1 species
GAUGAAGAACGUAGCGAAAUGCGAUACGUAAUGUGAAUUGCAGAUCUCUCAGUGAACCAUCGAAUUUUUGAACGCACAUAGCGCCCGCCGGUCAUUCCGGCGGGCAUGCCUGUCCGAGCGUCGAUGACGCCGCUCGAGCCCCCGUGCUCGGUGUUGGGGCGCUAGGUCUCCCAGAGGCCUAGGCCCCCAAGUAGCAGUGCGCGGUCCGGCUGCGGGCCCCGGGUACAGUAACUUCACUGUUGAGAUGCCCUGGGAGCCGCUGGCCGGGUCAGCCGUAAAACCCCCGACAUAGGCCUUCCUGUCCGCCCCCGGCGGGGAGGGAGACCGCCUAAUGUUGACCUCGGAUCAGGUAGGACUACCCGCUGAACUUAAGCAUAUCAAUAAGCGGAGGA